rnacentral:rRNA from 1 species
CAGCCGCCGCUGUAAUACGGAGGGUGCAAGCGUUAUCCGGAUUUAUUGGGUUUAAAGGGUCCGUAGGCGGAUCUGUAAGUCAGUGGUGAAAUCUCACAGCUUAACUGUGAAACUGCCAUUGAUACUGCAGGUCUUGAGUAAAUUUGAAGUGGCUGGAAUAAGUAGUGUAGCGGUGAAAUGCAUAGAUAUUACUUAGAACACCAAUUGCGAAGGCAGGUCACUAAGAUUUAACUGACGCUGAUGGACGAAAGCGUGGGGAGCGAACAGGAUUAGAUACCCCGGUAGUCCCUGUCUCUUAUAC